UUAAGCGACUAAGCGUACACGGUGGAUGCCCUGGCAGUCAGAGGCGAUGAAGGACGUGCUAAUCUGCGAUAAGCGUCGGUAAGGUGAUAUGAACCGUUAUAACCGGCGAUUUCCGAAUGGGGAAACCCAGUGUGUUUCGACACACUAUCAUUAACUGAAUCCAUAGGUUAAUGAGGCGAACCGGGGGAACUGAAACAUCUAAGUACCCCGAGGAAAAGAAAUCAACCGAGAUUCCCCCAGUAGCGGCGAGCGAACGGGGAGCAGCCCAGAGCCUGAAUCAGUGUGUGUGUUAGUGGAAGCGUCUGGAAAGGCGCGCGAUACAGGGUGACAGCCCCGUACACAAAAAUGCACAUGCUGUGAGCUCGAUGAGUAGGGCGGGACACGUGGUAUCCUGUCUGAAUAUGGGGGGACCAUCCUCCAAGGCUAAAUACUCCUGACUGACCGAUAGUGAACCAGUACCGUGAGGGAAAGGCGAAAAGAACCCCGGCGAGGGGAGUGAAAAAGAACCUGAAACCGUGUACGUACAAGCAGUGGGAGCACGCUUAGGCGUGUGACUGCGUACCUUUUGUAUAAUGGGUCAGCGACUUAUAUUCUGUAGCAAGGUUAACCGAAUAGGGGAGCCGAAGGGAAACCGAGUCUUAACUGGGCGUUAAGUUGCAGGGUAUAGACCCGAAACCCGGUGAUCUAGCCAUGGGCAGGUUGAAGGUUGGGUAACACUAACUGGAGGACCGAACCGACUAAUGUUGAAAAAUUAGCGGAUGACUUGUGGCUGGGGGUGAAAGGCCAAUCAAACCGGGAGAUAGCUGGUUCUCCCCGAAAGCUAUUUAGGUAGCGCCUCGUGAAUUCAUCUCCGGGGGUAGAGCACUGUUUCGGCAAGGGGGUCAUCCCGACUUACCAACCCGAUGCAAACUGCGAAUACCGGAGAAUGUUAUCACGGGAGACACACGGCGGGUGCUAACGUCCGUCGUGAAGAGGGAAACAACCCAGACCGCCAGCUAAGGUCCCAAAGUCAUGGUUAAGUGGGAAACGAUGUGGGAAGGCCCAGACAGCCAGGAUGUUGGCUUAGAAGCAGCCAUCAUUUAAAGAAAGCGUAAUAGCUCACUGGUCGAGUCGGCCUGCGCGGAAGAUGUAACGGGGCUAAACCAUGCACCGAAGCUGCGGCAGCGACGCUGAUGCGUUGUUGGGUAGGGGAGCGUUCUGUAAGCCUGCGAAGGUGUGCUGUGAGGCAUGCUGGAGGUAUCAGAAGUGCGAAUGCUGACAUAAGUAACGAUAAAGCGGGUGAAAAGCCCGCUCGCCGGAAGACCAAGGGUUCCUGUCCAACGUUAAUCGGGGCAGGGUGAGUCGACCCCUAAGGCGAGGCCGAAAGGCGUAGUCGAUGGGAAACAGGUUAAUAUUCCUGUACUUGGUGUUACUGCGAAGGGGGACGGAGAAGGCUAUGUUGGCCGGGCGACGGUUGUCCCGGUUUAAGCGUGUAGGCUGGUUUUCCAGGCAAAUCCGGAAAAUCAAGGCUGAGGCGUGAUGACGAGGCACUACGGUGCUGAAGCAACAAAUGCCCUGCUUCCAGGAAAAGCCUCUAAGCAUCAGGUAACAUCAAAUCGUACCCCAAACCGACACAGGUGGUCAGGUAGAGAAUACCAAGGCGCUUGAGAGAACUCGGGUGAAGGAACUAGGCAAAAUGGUGCCGUAACUUCGGGAGAAGGCACGCUGAUAUGUAGGUGAAGUCCCUCGCGGAUGGAGCUGAAAUCAGUCGAAGAUACCAGCUGGCUGCAACUGUUUAUUAAAAACACAGCACUGUGCAAACACGAAAGUGGACGUAUACGGUGUGACGCCUGCCCGGUGCCGGAAGGUUAAUUGAUGGGGUUAGCCGCAAGGCGAAGCUCUUGAUCGAAGCCCCGGUAAACGGCGGCCGUAACUAUAACGGUCCUAAGGUAGCGAAAUUCCUUGUCGGGUAAGUUCCGACCUGCACGAAUGGCGUAAUGAUGGCCAGGCUGUCUCCACCCGAGACUCAGUGAAAUUGAACUCGCUGUGAAGAUGCAGUGUACCCGCGGCAAGACGGAAAGACCCCGUGAACCUUUACUAUAGCUUGACACUGAACAUUGAGCCUUGAUGUGUAGGAUAGGUGGGAGGCUUUGAAGUGUGGACGCCAGUCUGCAUGGAGCCGACCUUGAAAUACCACCCUUUAAUGUUUGAUGUUCUAACGUUGACCCGUAAUCCGGGUUGCGGACAGUGUCUGGUGGGUAGUUUGACUGGGGCGGUCUCCUCCUAAAGAGUAACGGAGGAGCACGAAGGUUGGCUAAUCCUGGUCGGACAUCAGGAGGUUAGUGCAAUGGCAUAAGCCAGCUUGACUGCGAGCGUGACGGCGCGAGCAGGUGCGAAAGCAGGUCAUAGUGAUCCGGUGGUUCUGAAUGGAAGGGCCAUCGCUCAACGGAUAAAAGGUACUCCGGGGAUAACAGGCUGAUACCGCCCAAGAGUUCAUAUCGACGGCGGUGUUUGGCACCUCGAUGUCGGCUCAUCACAUCCUGGGGCUGAAGUAGGUCCCAAGGGUAUGGCUGUUCGCCAUUUAAAGUGGUACGCGAGCUGGGUUUAGAACGUCGUGAGACAGUUCGGUCCCUAUCUGCCGUGGGCGCUGGAGAACUGAGGGGGGCUGCUCCUAGUACGAGAGGACCGGAGUGGACGCAUCACUGGUGUUCGGGUUGUCAUGCCAAUGGCACUGCCCGGUAGCUAAAUGCGGAAGAGAUAAGUGCUGAAAGCAUCUAAGCACGAAACUUGCCCCGAGAUGAGUUCUCCCUGACUCCUUGAGAGUCCUGAAGGAACGUUGAAGACGACGACGUUGAUAGGCCGGGUGUGUAAGCGCAGCGAUGCGUUGAGCUAACCGGUACUAAUGAACCGUGAGGCUUAACCUU
rnacentral:rRNA from 1 species